GACGAACGCUGGCGGCGUGCUUAAUACAUGCAAGUCGAACGGAAAGGCCCUGCUCUUGUGGGUUGCUCGUUUGGCGCACGGGUGAGUAACACGUGAGUAACAUGCCCUUGUCUUUGGGAUAACUCCACGAAACUGCGGCUCAUACACGAUAGAAUCUCCUGCUGCACGGUGGGGGUUGGAAAGAGUCGGCGGUUGGGGAUGGACUCGCGGCUUAUCCGCUUGUUUGUGGGGUAGUUGCAUACCAAGGCUUUGACGGGUAGCCGGCCUGAGAGGUGGACCAGGGACAAUGGGACUGAGGGACGGCGCAGACUCCUACGGGACGCAGUAGGCGGGAAUAUGGCGGAACGGGCGGAAGCCUGUGGCAGCAACGCCGGGUGCGGGAUGAUGGCUUACGGGUGAUGAACCGAUUUCGCCGGUGACGAAGCCGGAGUGACGGUAAUGGGUAAGGAAGCACCGGCUAACUACGUG
rnacentral:rRNA from 1 species